GACGAACGCUGGCGGCGUGCCUAAUACAUGCAAGUCGAGCGCAGGAAACUGACGGAACUCUUCGGAGGGAAGGCAGUGGAAUGAGCGGCGGACGGGUGAGUAACACGUAAGGAACCUGCCUCAAGGAUUGGGAUAACUCCGAGAACUCGGAGCUAAUACCGGAUAGUUCAACGGACCGCAUGGUCCGCUGAUGAAAGGCGCUCCGGCGUGACCUUGAGAUGGCCUUGCGGUGCAUUAGCUAGUUGGUGGGGUAACGGCCCACCAAGGCGACGAUGCAUAGCCGACCUGAGAGGGUGAUCGGCCACACUGGGACUGAGACACGGCCCAGACUCCUACGGGAGGCAGCAGUAGGGAAUCUUCCACAAUGGACGAAAGUCUGAUGGAGCAACGCCGCGUGAGUGAUGAAGGUUUUCGGAUCGUAAAACUCUGUUGUAAGGGAAGAACACGUACGAGAGGGAAUGCUCGUACCUUGACGGUACCUUACGAGAAAGCCACGGCUAACUACGUGCCAGCCGCCGCGGUAAGAC
rnacentral:rRNA from 1 species